rnacentral:rRNA from 1 species
AGAGUUUGAUCCUGGCUCAGAUUGAACGCUGGCGGCAUGCUUUACACAUGCAAGUCGAACGGCAGCAUAGAGAGCUUGCUCUCUGAUGGCGAGUGGCGAACGGGUGAGUAAUACAUCGGAACGUGUCCGUUUGUGGGGGACAACCACCCGAAAGGGUGGCUAAUACCGCAUAAGACCUGAGGGUGAAAGCCGGGGACCGCAAGGCCUGGCGCGAACGGAGCGGCCGAUGACUGAUUAGCUGGUUGGCGGGGUAAAGGCCCACCAAGGCGACGAUCAGUAGCUGGUCUGAGAGGACGACCAGCCACACUGGAACUGAGACACGGUCCAGACUCCUACGGGAGGCAGCAGUGGGGGAUUUUGGACAAUGGGGGCAACCCUGAUCCAGCCAUGCCGCGUGCGGGAAGAAGGCCUUCGGGUUGUAAACCGCUUUUGUCAGGGACGAAAAGGUGCGGGUUAAGAGCUAGCACUGAUGACGGUACCUGAAGAAUAAGCACCGGCUAACUACGUGCCAGCAGCCGCGGUAAUACGUAGGGUGCGAGCGUUAAUCGGAAUUACUGGGCGUAAAGCGUGCGCAGGCGGUUGGGUAAGACAGAUGUGAAAUCCCCGGGCUUAACCUGGGAACUGCAUUUGUGACUGUCCGACUGGAGUAUGUCAGAGGGGGGUGGAAUUCCAAGUGUAGCAGUGAAAUGCGUAGAUAUUUGGAAGAACACCGAUGGCGAAGGCAGCCCCCUGGGGCAAAACUGACGCUCAUGCACGAAAGCGUGGGGAGCAAACAGGAUUAGAUACCCUGGUAGUCCACGCCCUAAACGAUGUCUACUGGUUGUUGGAGGGUAAAACCUUCAGUAACGAAGCUAACGCGUGAAGUAGACCGCCUGGGGAGUACGGUCGCAAGAUUAAAACUCAAAGGAAUUGACGGGGACCCGCACAAGCGGUGGAUGAUGUGGAUUAAUUCGAUGCAACGCGAAAAACCUUACCUAGCCUUGACAUGUCAGGAACGCUCCGGAGAUGGGGCGGUGCCCGCAAGGGAACCUGAGCACAGGUGCUGCAUGGCUGUCGUCAGCUCGUGUCGUGAGAU